rnacentral:rRNA from 1 species
GACGAACGCUGGCGGCGUGCUUAACACAUGCAAGUCGAACGGUGAAGCGCCUUCCUUCUUGGUGGGUGUGGAUGAGUGGCGAACGGGUGAGUAACACGUGAGUAACCUGCCCCCUUCUUCUGGAUAACCGCAUGAAAGUGUGGCUAAUACGGGAUAUUCUGGGUCUGUCGCAUGAUGGGUCUGGGAAAGAUAUUGUUUCGGUGGGGGAUGGGCUCGCGGCCUAUCAGCUUGUUGGUGGGGUGAUGGCCUACCAAGGCGGUGACGGGUAGCCGGCCUGAGAGGGUGGACGGUCACACUGGGACUGAGACACGGCCCAGACUCCUACGGGAGGCAGCAGGGGGGAAUAUUGCACAAUGGGCGCAAGCCUGAUGCAGCGACGCCGCGUGAGGGAUGGAGGCCUUCGGGUUGUGAACCUCUUUCGCCAGUGAAGCAGGCCUGCCUCGUUUGUGGGUGGGUUGACGGUAGCUGGAUAAGAAGCGCCGGCUAACUACGUG